CAGAGCUUGGAAUAACCAAACCAGGUGCUGAUGAAGGAACAGAAAUUGGAAAGCGUGAUUCACUUGGCAAAGAAGCACUCUUCUCAUAGACAUCAUUUUGCUCAUCACUGCUUUGGAAAUGAAACUACAAGCACAAACGUGAGAUGGUCAGAGCAUGUGGCUGCAAUGGUAAAUGCACUGUGGAGACAGGAGAUGGUCUUGUUAUGAAGCAGAAAAGGAAUUAGAAGAUGCAAGUAUACCUGAUCAACAAGUAAACAGUGCUGGAGAAGAUAAUUUGAACCUCAGAAUAAAAGAGCUGGAAAAUUCUGAACAAAAGCUGAAAGGUAUUCUAGAGAACUACGUGGAGUCAGAUUCUGUCCUAAGAAAUAGGAUGAAUGAGCUGGAGAGGUCACACAAAAUACUUCUUGUGACGAUUGAUCAACUAAAUGUGAAGUUGCACCAGGUUGAAAAUGCAAAUAUGCGUGUUAAAGGGAAACUGCGAGACAUUCGGGAAGACCUGAUCAACUUGGUUGAAAAUCAAGAAAAGUCAGAGAAGAAGCAAAAGGAAAAAUUACGUUGGCUUCAGGAGCAGCUGAAGACAAAAGAAGAUGAAAUAAAGAGCCAGUCAGAUUAUUUUGAGCACUACAAACAGAGGCAGAGACAAAAGACAGCAGUGCUGAGAGAAAGGGAAUGUUACCUUCGGGGUGAGGUAUCUAGGUUGGAAGAACAAGUCCUACAUCUUAGUGCCCAUAUUGCUCUUUUGACAUCCAAGAUAGAAGAGGGAAUGGCGCAGUAUCUCCAGCAAAAGCUGGAAUCAGUGUUCAGUGGGACUCAGUGCUGCAAAUACUCUGACCUGGAAGUAAUGAAAUUGAAAACUUGCAUUGAAAAUGUGAAGCAUGACAUGAUAAGCCACCUUGAGGCAUUUCAGCAAAAUUUGAAGUUUUUCAGAGAAAAAGAGGAGUAUUACAGAAGAGAAAAGGCAGACCUGUUGACUGCGCUCCAGUACUCUCAGGACACUGAAGACUUUCUCAGAAGAAAAUUGGAAGAAUCUUGCCAUCUUGUUUAUAGCCUGAAAUUAUCAAAAAUCAAACUACAAGAAAAAAUGGAAGAGCUUUUGGAUGAAAAUAAGACCUUAAAAGAUCAAGGUAUGGUAAAACUGAAAAAGAAGAAAGAAAAGGACUCACAACUUACAAGACUGGAGAAUGGAGGAGAGACUGUUGAUCCAAAUGGAGAUUUAAUUCAAGAUGACAUUCCAAAUCUGAAAUGGGAAGCAGUCAUGGAUUCACUCAAAAGCAGAGUUACUCAAACUCCAGUUGUGCUGCUACGUGCUAAAGAGUUUGAAACACCAGGAUCUAGCUGUGAUGAGCUAAAGCAGAUGCAGGAGCUACCAGAAGAACUUCUGCCAGUUUUGGAACACAAUUCCAGUGCCUUUGCAAAAGUCAUUGGACUAGCUGAGACUGAGCAGGUCACUCUUGGAACAAAGAGGGCAGGUGCUCUAGAAGACAGUUUCACUUUGUUCAGAUGUACCCCAAGUUAUUGUGUAGCAGGACUAUUUCCCCCUUGUUCUGAGAAGUUAACUAAUGGUGAGACAAGUAAGGAAACCAAAGGUGAAGAAAACUUUUCUCUCUUGAAAGAACAAGGUCUAAUUCUGCCAGCAAAGAUGUUCCCUGUUUCUGUGGUUGAAGCUUUGAUGAGGAAGAAGCUCCAACUUACUCUGUUAGAACCUGAAAAUUACCACGUAUCAGCUGUCACCACUAUGAAGAAAGUGAGAAGUUUGUAUUUCUGUGGGGCAAAUACCAGUCUGUGCUCUGAUGGCUUCUGCUUUGUUGCAGAAAGAGGAUUUUCUGGCAAAACCUCUGCACAAUUUUGUGGAAAGAUGCCUUACAUUCUGACUGAAAUUUUCACAGUGUCUCUAGAAAAAUACCACAUGGAAAAACUUUGGGAAAACAAGCAAAUUCUGCCAAAAAGCUUAAGUGGAAAUAAAUCUUUGGAUGAAGUUAUUAAUGAUGGAAAGUAUCACCAAAAAGUCUUUAGAUGGAAAGCUGAAGGAGAGGAAAUACAGAAAGCCCAACUGCAACAGGUGACCCGUGUUCCUGAAGAGAGUUCUAAAGUUUUAAAUAGAACUGAAUUAAUCAAGCCUGGGAAGCCAGGAAUGGAAGACAAAGACAGCCCAAGUAUUCCACAGGAUGUUCAAAAUUUAUUUGUUUAUUUUAAAGACUUUAAGAAGCAUUUUGAAGGGAACACUGAACUAAUAGAUAAACAAGGAAACCUCUCAGAAGUCUGCAUCUCUGAUACGAAUAGGGUAUAUAAUAGAGAAGACAUAAUAAAAUUGGAGAACCGAGAACAAUCUCAGAAACCAACUCACCAAACAAACGCUUCCAGUAAUAUUGGCUUGAAAGAAAAGAAAGACCAGACCCUGAAACUAUGUGAGCCAAAUGAGAACAAUUCCUCAUGUCAAAAAAUAGCUGCUGAAAACAUGCAAUAUGCACGCUCUCAGAAUUUUCUUUGGUCACAGGAAGAGAAGUAUCCACUCAAUAUAUUGUGUCCUGUGCAGGAGAGGGCUGUGUGUUUAAGCAAACUGUUCCUGCCAGGGAGCAAUUUUUAUGAGUGUUUGUGUCAUCUGUCACCACUGGAAGCUGGCAAUGACCCUAAUGUGAAAAUAUGUGCACUGGAAAAAAUGGUGGCUCUGUGUUCUCAGAGGAUAUUUCUACUGAUGCAAGAGAAAAAAAAUUACUCAACAAAAGUCUGUGUAUUACAACAGGAGAAUGAGAGAUAUGCUCAGAUGGUGCAUGCACUGGAAGAGGAGGUGGAUGCAUAUUUUCAAUGUAUUUUAGCAGUAGAGGAAGCUAACAUUGUUUCAUUCCAAAACUUACUUAAUCAGAAAGAAGUUACUGGUGAAUGUUACAAUAACUCAUCAGAAGAAAACAUCAUGAUCCCAGGAACAUUUUUUGUUGAAACCUUCUUCAAGAACUUCUUAUGUCUGGAAGAGAAAAGUAAGAAUUCUGAAAAAAAGUCACUGACAAUUGCAUCAAAUACACUUUCCAGGAGUGUUUUAUCCCUAGAUGGAAGGAAAAUGAGGUAUUUCCAGCUACUUUCUGACCUGAAGGAAGAAAGAAGCAAAUGCUUCAAAGAAAUAGCUCAAUUAUUACAAGACAAAGAGAACUAUGUGGCUAAAUAUAAUGAAUUAUUACAAGAGAGAGAUGGAAAUUUACGAAGGAUAUAUCUUUUAGAAGGUGAAAAAGAAACAUUAUUGGGAUGUUUGGCAGAGGUAAAGCGUGAACAAGACAAAUACAGGACUUUGGUUUCAGAACUUCAAGAGUGCAAAACCAGUAGUUUUCAAACUAUUUCUGAUUUACAGGAAGAAAAGUGUGUAAUGAAAAGAGAAAUAGACAGGGUCAGGAAAGAAACAUCAGAACAGCUUGGUGAAUUUCAGAAAGCAAAUGCAAACUUCCUUUUAGAAAAUAGCAAAUUGAAAGAAUUAGUAUCUUCUUUGGGUUUCACCUAUGAAGAGCUGAGAAAACAUAAAAGUUUGGGGAUGAAAGAAAAGAUAGUAAAAGUAAAAGAAGGAAGUCAGCGACAUGGUCUGAAGCCAAUGAAAGUUGAAACAGCAUGUGGUAUAACUCAGACUGAAGGAGUGCUAAUUAUAGACCCCUCAAACUGUUUCGCUGGAAAAGAGGGCAGCACAUUUGAAAGCUACAGUGUGAUGAAAAAGCAAGUUGAGAAGGCAAAAGAAGAACUAAAACUACAGCAAAAGGAAUUAGAAAAAUCAAAAAAAGAGGCUCAGAAAUGGUACAUAGAACUUGGUUUUGCUGAAACUAGAUAUGAAGAAAUCAAAACUCAUUUGUCACAAGUUCUCUCAGAAUUAGACCAUCUUAAAAAAGAAGCUGGGGACAGAAUGCUUGUAAAGCAGCACUGCAAGUUAAUGCCUGUGUACACUGUGAAAGAUGGCCAGGAAAUAGAGGAGAACAAAAUUGCCAAUAAGCGAUUACGGCAGCAAGUACUGACCUUGAAAGCCCAGCUCAGAGACCAGACCGCAUUACAAAAUCAGUUUCAUGACUUGCAGAAUGAAGUGGAACUCCUUCAGGCUCAGCUAUGUGAAAAGGAAAAACAGCUUCAGAAGAGAAGGUCUGAAGAGAAGUUGACACUAGCUCCUCUGAAGGCUAAGCUGGCUUGCCUCACCCAAAAGUGCCAGGAAAGGAACAGCUUCAUUGCCAGGAUGCUUAGUGAAUUGCACAGGAGAGGAAUUAUUACCUCUGAAUUUGAUGAAGAGGUGAAAAACUUUGUGAAUGACGUGACCCUGGCAGAGUACACAGUUGCUUUUACAUCAAUGUGUGAUCAAGAGAUGCUGCCUUCUUCCACAGAUAUUUCACAGGCCAAUGGACAGCCCCAGGAUCGUGAGACAUGUGUCGAAGUGAAGGGAAUGACUGAGUCAACACCUGCAAACUCUCAGCAAGAGGUGGAUAGCACCUGCAGAUCUCGCAUCACUCCAAACAUGUAUGAUGCUUCUCCUAUAACAUUAACAAGUCCAGAGAGGGUCAUAGCCUGGCAUCAAAAACUAAGACAAAACCAUCACAAAAACUGCCAGAUACCGUCAGUUGUCUCCUCCAACUCAAAUCCAAAGGCUGACUGCAACCUGCCCAUGAUCCAUGAGGAAGCCCCUUGGCCUGUGCUGUCAAGGACGAAGGAUGCACUGGUGCCUCUGGACCAUGGUGCUUUCUGGGCCACAAAGGGGAGGGAUCAGUUGUCCAAAUGUGAUGAUGUAUUUUGGGGUCAAAUAGGAAAUCAGCAUGCAGGUGCCAUUCCCCAGGCAAUGAAACAGAAAAAUGCCAUUAUGAAUAAGGCAUGGCUCUCUAGAGAAAAAACAGAUGGCUCAACCUCAGCUACCACAGCAAAAAGCUAUUUGUCAGACGUGUUGUCAGCAAGUAAUAAAGGUCGAAAUCCUGUGGGGAGAAAUCAGCUGCAUGGGAAAGAAUUAAAUCCACAGAAAUAAAAAAAGGGAUGACUUUGCCUGUUGGUUUGGUCUACAUUAUUAAACAGUGGGGAGAAGCAGCCUGACGGUCGGUUCAGAGAGUCAGAAUUCAGAUGAUGACUUAGGAUUUUGCAAAUGACUUUCAUUGCAGAAUACAAGACCCCUGGGUUUGUCUUUCUGUGGAGCAAGAGGAAAUAUCUGAAGAUUUGUGCUCCUGAGGCUAGAACAAUUCUACUCUGCUGAAGACUGUGGUUAGUGUAUGAGCCAUCCACCAGUGAAGUGCUUAAGCAACAGUGGACUUACUAUUUGAUUGAACUCUGUUUUUCUGGUUGUUAAUUACACUCCUUCUAUGGCUUUUCGUGUUUGAGCUGUAUCAUUAUGCUUAACAAAAUGUUUGUUAUUACCUGCUGUGAUUUUGAAUAAUUCAUGGUAUUAGUGUGCAAUUUGAGACUAUCAUGUGUUCUCUCUGGAGAAAACCGAAGGUUGCUGUUUUGUUUUUUUUUUCUUUGAAGGUGAGUGGAAGAGACGAUUUGGUUUCCGUGGUCUUUUAUCAGGAAGUUAAUUUUGAAUCACCCAAGAAAAUUAACAAAAACAUAAUGAGGAUAUAGUACUCGCAAUAUUUUUUAAAUAUUUUUAUGAAAUAUCUUGCUAAGAUACAAAGUAACCUGAGUAAACCAGCCCAGGACUUCUGUAAAUAGCAAUGUCUCGUACUUUCAGUUAAUUGUUUCCACAGAGGUAGCAAAUGACAACACGGUGUUUAUCCUGCGGCAGUGUUUCUGCAGCUCUCAAUUUCAUUUGAUUCUGUUUCCUUUUCUUAAUGGAUGAGUUAACCAAAUCUAAAAAUAAAAAUCCAUUUUUUCAAUUAUGACAGGGAUUUUCUUACUUCAGUUCUGUGAGUUGCCCUGGAAACAAGAAAACACUAAAGUAAGGUCCGAAAAAUGGUGCCAUGACAACCAUUUUUUCUGUUAUUUUUGGUUACAGCUUAAUCCUAGAAAAAUUAUAUGGCUGAGGAGCCCAGCUACUAGCUGAUACUGUCAGGUAACUUCUGAACAAAGAUAGGUGUGGUAAGUUUGUUUUGAUUAGGUGAAAGUCAAUGGGAAUACUCCACAGUAAAAAGUCAUUGUGUCAGAAAAACAUUUUUUUAAAGAGUUCUUCUCCUCCAUCCUGGCAUGUUCUCUGGAGUCGCUUCACUCUGCCACUGUCUGUGCUUUGCUGCAGUCUCAGGACUGGAUUAACUCCAUCUUUAUACAGUCUGCAUCGGCCAAGAUCUUUCAGACUGCAAGGCUGAAAUCUUCUUUAUGGUUAUCUUCACAGAAAGUUAUGGAAUGUUUUCUCAUUGUCCAAAUGAUGAAAGUGCUGGUCCUCUGAACAUGAAGCAGACCAGUUUAAUGUUAUAACAACGGUCAUUCCUAAAGGUUAACUGCUUUAUAAUUAGCCAGAUUUUUCCCUCCACUCACUACAAGUUUGCAAUCUGCUUAAUAUAUGCACAGUCAGGGAAAAGCUGUAAAUAUGAUGCUAGAAGCAGACACUUGGAACUAUUGCUCUUGCUUUUCUUCAACUUAUGCAAGUGUUUGCAGUAGCUUAGUGCCAACAGAACUGUUGUGUCCCAGCACUUUGGGCUUAAUCUUGUAAGUCUUGAGAGUACACUGUUCCCUUUCCAACACUCUUCAACAGAUCUGUGUGAGGAGGGUUUGCAAGACCAAGUGGUUAACUGAAAGCCACAAGUACAUCACCACCUGCUUAAGCCAUCAGUGUAGAACUGAGCUCACUCAUGAAGUCGUACCAGCUGAAAUCUUGGCUAAAAAAAAUCUCCUAACCAAGCAUUUUGGUCACGAGAAGCCGGCCCCUCAAAUCUUAUUCAGACAGAUCAUUCCACCUGCUUCUUCCCUUGCAAAUGAUUGAAGUUCCCUCUUACAGAGGUUUUCCAGUGAGUCUUGCUGAUCUUUAAGCUGCAGCUUUAUGUCCAUUGAUAGCUGUUCUUGUCUCAUGUGCCUAUUGAAUGCAGAGGUUAAGAAUGCAGAGGUUAUCUGCAUCCAUAGCCUUCUCUCUGCAAACAAACCUAGAUGAUCUCUGACAGUAAAUAGCAUUCUUGCUCCACAGGCAUGUAAAUCCACUGAGGGUGAUGAGUUGAUCCAGGAAAUUGCUGCCCUCAUAAAUUGCUGGGACUGCAUGCUGGAGGCAUAGUGUCAUCCCUGAUACCUGUCUGGCACUGGUGAUCUCCAAGAACUUCUAAAAUUAUAGUCUAAAAUGCUAACAAGGCGUAGGAGGGAAGGGUUUAUUUUAUGUAAAUUUAGCCAGGAAGUCUUUGAAACUAAUUGCUUAAAGAGGGUGGAGAAAGUUGAUGGAGUGUGAUAGACAUACAGAUUUUUUUUCCUGCUUUCAGAAUACAGUGUUGAUUAACUGGGCUUAGUAUAGCACUGCAUAUAUUAGCUGAGCAUAAAAUUGCACAGUGCAUGAGCCUGCUCUGUGGAUAAACUGAACAGGCCGUGCUCUGGAUGUUACUACAGAUGCAAAUUUAGGAAGUUUUAGAGCUAUUCUUCUGCAGAUAAAACCUUUGCUUCUAGUGAACUUGGUAUCAAAUUAUUGUCCUCCUUGAUGUCAAUAUUUUAAUUUGUGGUAAAAAAUAAAAUCAAAUGCAAAAAAAAUAUCUGAAGCGAUACCUACAGAAUGGACCGUUAGUUCGGAAAAGUUUCAAAUUCAGGAGUAACACUAGGGAAAUCCUUCUUUACAUACAUACUACUCAGCAUAGCUACUCUGACAGAUGUCAAAGGCUUGCCUGUCAAUCAGCCUUCCAGUUUACAUGCCAAGCCCUGUUUAGUCUUUCUGGUUUGUGUUUGUUGGUUGUGCUGACUUGUCUAAUAGAGCAGCCUCUGAUCUUUCUUUGGUGCUGUUCUGGACACAGUCUACUAUUCUGCAGGCAUGGGCUGCACACCUUGUUCCUAGUGCAUCACCUUGCAUUUGAGCAUAUUAAAAUAUUUAUAGAAAAUCAGUGAUUUAAUUUCCAUGCUAGUUGGAGACUAGCAUUACAAAUUAGAGUUACAUUCUCUGUCUAGAACUGGGGGUUGCAUAGAUGUCUAUAUGUAUUUGAUACCUGAAGAAAACACAGUAUGGUGCCUACUGUAGUAGGUCAAAUCUGUUGUUCUUAGGUAUGAGUGCAUGUCAUGAAUCUAUGCAUACUUCAUUUCAGUGUGAAAGCUGGGUACCUGCUGUUGACUUGUACACCUUUCCCUUCACAAUAUCUUAAGCUAGUUUUAAUGGAGAGAAGAUUUUUAUAACAUCCAAGUUUGGAUAUAGUCUCCUCUGUGCUGUGUCCCAUGAACAUGUAUGAAGUCCCUGACCAUUACCAUGACAGUUUCACAGGGGUGAAUGGUUAAAAAUUGAACUCAAAACAGUAUAUUAAAAUGCAAAUGACAUGAAUUAACUCAAAAUAUUUUCUUUCCAGAAAUAAAACUACACUUGAAUGGAUGGGCACUAAUGAAUUAAAAAAAAAAAAAAAAAAAGCCUAAUGUGGAUGAUGCAGUGUGUCUGAUUGUAAGCACCAGGCUGAAAACACAUAACAAUUACAGGCCUUUGGAAAACUGAAGGCUGAGAUUUCAGUGGGUCUCCUUUAAUAGGAAAAAAAAAAAUUAUAUGAGCCUUUGAUGAGCAGCACACAAGGUUAUGUAGCAGUCAGAGCAUAUUCUGUCUUACUUAUUUGGGACAGAGAGCCAGAUGCAUCACUGUUACAUAAGCCUGCUGACCUGCAUAUAGAGCUUUAUGGCAACAGAAAUUUAGAGAAAAACAAAUCCUAUUCAACUUAGCCAAUAUGAAGGCAAGAAAUUAGUGUCUUUUUAAGUUUUGUUGCUUUCUACUUGCUUUCUCUGGAGUUGCAUGGCUCUACAGAUAUGUUUAAAGGAGAAAAACCCAUGAAACAUAUUAUUCCCUAUAGGGCUCAGUUUUGAAAACAGAAUUGGGAGGGCAUGAAUACCUGAGACAAAGAAGAAGGGUGAGAAGGCAAUGAAUGUGAUGAAAUCUCAGUCUACUGAGUAAUGGUACAAUCUGACUGUUUAGGGAACAGGACCACAAGAUGUGUUUUAUAACAGACAUAACAGCCCAUUAUUUAAGUGGUGCAGCAUGAAAAAAGAUCAUGCCAGUUUGCAGAAAAUUUUGAUAGAUUUAUUUAAUUUGAUUUUUUUUUUCUGUUUUGAAAUAAAAAGGAGUGUAUUUUUCAACUCUAAAUGAAUAGAAUAUUUUCUGUUAGAAGGGACCUACAACAAUCAUCUAGUCCAAAGUUAAUGACACUUGGAACUGGAGGUAUCAGAAGAUCUUGGGUCCCCAUCUUGAGGAAAUGUCUGCAUCCUCUGGCUGCCUGGGAUGCCAAGGAGCUUCACAUUUCCAGAGCUUCCAGACUCUUGCUUCUUUUCUUUCUUCCUGGUGGGCUAACAGAGAGCUGGCAGCCUUGGAGUUUAAGAGCAGGGAUACUCUGCUCUUAGUUUCUUGGCAGCCUGCCUAAAGACAUCUGUAGAGGAGCCAGCAGCCUAGGAGCUCUGCAAUCUCUGAGACUAUCCUGGAGCAAUAACUUCUUUCAAACUCCCACUCUCUGUCAACCUGCCAGGAGCACUGUUGAAGAACAGGGAAGGGGAACUGGCAGGAAAUCAGGCGUAAUUCCUGCAGCCUCAUCAAAAUAAAAUUUUCCAUGCAAAAUGUUUCUGACCACUUUUAGUAACCCCCUGUGUAAACCCUAACAUGUCAGGACCUGAUCCUGGAAGUCCUACAUCCCCUUGCUUUAGGUAUGGUUGCAAAGUUCAGUGAGGCAGAAGGGAGGACAAAAAGAUAUUUACACCAUCCUAGUAUCUCUGUAGCUGGGAUGUGGGUCAGCUGCAACUGUUCGCAUAGCACUAGACUGCCUGCAGUCAGAUGGCCUACAAAUCCCAGUUGUCCUAAUGGUAUUGGAGGACAUGGUUAUUCUAGGAAGGUUCUUGACUGGUGUAGCAGCUGUUAUGAUGGUACUGGAAAGGUAAAUGAAAUAUGUGUUGCCACUCAGCUCUUUUUCCCAUGCUUGCUUUAUGAUUGACCUUGAGGUCUGUGUCUGAGUAGAGAUAUUGGUCCAAACAGUGUGGACAAGAGAAUUGUCUGGACACAUGUGUGUCCCAAGUAUGUACUUAAAAUUCAACACACAUAUUUUCAAUACAGCCUAAAGGUUACUGUAAUUUUUAGUUAUAAUCCAUAGCUAUAGGGUGACGUGUCAGCAGCUGAGGGCCCCGGGAAGGUGCUCUUGCUUUUUCUAGCCAUAGAGAAGGAGGACGAUAAUACAACAGGCCUUGUGGCUCAGUCAUAACUACAGCCCCUGCAGGGUGAAUUAGGACUGGUGCAAUGCAAAAGUGCCCAAAUGACAGAGAGAAUCUGGGCCACUGCGUUCAUCUUGUUUGAUUUCCAAAUUUUUCAAUGCUCAGGGGGACAGGAUUAUAACAAAGUUUGACUUCCUGCUAUGUAGGUCAUACGCUAUAUGCUGCAUCCUCCACCACAGGGGUAAAGCUGGACCAGGGAAACUUGCUUUGCCUUUGUAAACAUUGAUGGAGAUAUCAAAUCUAUUUCUUUUAUUAAUAAUUUUCAAUUACUUCAUUUUGGGAUAAAACCAUUUAGACUUUUACUGCUGGUGAUACAUUAAAAUGUGUUGCAGUAACAAUGUGUUGCAGUUAUUGAACUCUGCAGCCUUUACAUCACCGCCUCUCAGCAAGAUUCACUGUUGGUCUGGAGGCUUUCUGGGUAACUAGUGGACUGUCUGGCUUUGUCAUGGGGUUUUCAAGGGUACUCCCACGUUAAUGCUCCUGCAACCAUGGCUGUGCAUCCCCCGUCUUUGGCAGACAGGGCUGUGCAGGCUGACACACAAAUCUACUGUAGAUUGAUCUGGGAACAGGGUGAGGAAAUAACCACAGAAAGCCUAGGAUUUGCUCACAGACUGGUAAUAAUACUGCUUUGAUUACUACUUUAAAAAAAAAAUCCAACCUACUCUAGCAGUCAUUCUGUCUUGUUGCAAGACUUUGUAAAGAUCAGGCAAGGAAAACAAACCAGAAAAGCUCAAAUAUUUGUGUGCUCCUUUCUUCCUGAGCUUUUGCUAUGGGGAUCAUGUAGAAAUCGUCAUUCUUAGGUGCUACUUAAUCUAUCCUGGAUGUGCAUGAAGAAUUUUAACCCGUGUGGUUAGAGGGGUAAUAGGAUACAAAAGUGCUUUGCUGAAAUGUGGAUUCACUUGCCUAUUUUUCUUAGCCUGACAGUAGAAAGGCAAACCUGCUGAUUAGUGUUACUUGUAUGACUGUGCAUUUAAGGGGAAGAUAUUUCUUUGUUACUGCUGCAGCUCUGUUGGAGCAAUUAAAAAAAAUGUGUCUGAGGAGGAGGCAAUAACUCUGAAAGUGUCUUUGGUGACUAAACAUUACACCCUAAAUAUACAGUGUUGCUACUGAUUUUCCUAGUCUCCUGUGAGUCAUAAAAUCUUGUCUCGUAUUGAGUGAGCCAUUCUUAAUGACCUUGACUUAAAAAAAAAAAUGCCUGUGACUCCCCCACAGUCAAAUAAUUUAAAUGAAUGGUUUUCUGUAGGACAUUCGUAGUCAUUUUCAGAUAAUUAAAAUUCCUGAAGGGCAAGGGGCAGGUCUGCAUUUGCAGGCAUCACUGCUGUUGCCAGAACAAAGCCCAAAGGUUGCCGUGGCUUAGAUGAAUGCAAUGCUUGGUCUUCUGGGCAGCCUUUACCAAUGUAAAUGUGAAUAGGCCUGCCUGGGCAGAUCAUCUGAUAAAGAGACAGCAUGCUCCAGAGGCUGAAGGACUAAAAUGGCCUCUACUUCCAAGGAUCUUACAUCGUCCUACUCACAAUUAGUGCUCUUCUGUUCCAGCAGGUCUUUCAGAUUUUCAUGGGUGUACUUACCUCCUUGGCUUCCCCAGUAUCUCCCACGGUGCUUUCCCCUCAUAGUCUGUUGGUCCAGUUUGCAAUGUCUUGCUGCAAGGAGCUUGAAUCAAACUCAGCAAAUGUAGCAUGUAUUUAAAAGAUUUAUGGCUGUUACCUAUUGCAAAUUUAUGUGUUCCAGUGGUGUUCUACAAUUGGUCUGUGAAACUGAUAUUACACAUUACCAGCAGAACUUUAUCAUUAAGAUCUUGCUAUUAAGGAUACUCUCUGAGAAACUGUAAGGGAAAGGAGUGGGGCCCACUAGCCCAAAAGGUUUGGAAAUAACCAAGUUGAACAUGCUUCUAUUGCUUUCUGGGUUUUUUUUUUUGUUUUGGUUUGGUUUGUUUUUUUUUGGAGCUAUAAGACUGCUGUGGGUCAACCUGGUGCUAAAGCAUCUUGUGGUUGUUGCUACUGUCUGUUACUGUCGGUAAUUUUUUGAUAAUGUUCAUAUCUUUAACCUCAGUGAAACAGGCACACUUAUAAAGAUUGCCUUCAUUUUUUUACCUGACAAGAUAAUCCUUCUGGAAUUUGCUUUUUGAUUGUAUUGAAAUGUUUGUCAGGAACAAUGUGUCUGCUAUAUAGAAGGUAUGAUGCUGAUGUCAUAUUUGGACAUGUCAUGCUGUUAUUGUCUCCAUAAUGUGAGGCUGACUCAUUUGUAUUAGCCUUCAAAUCCAUUAUAACUGUCCUGAUGGGAGAGAUGUAAAUAAUCAUAAAUUCAUGUCCUCAAUUUACCUUAGCACAAAAAAUACCCUAUAUUUAAUAAGUACCGUUAGAUUUUCAAGGCUAGUAAAACUCUGGGGUAUAUAAAUGGGGUGGUGCCUGUACAGGAAAAUCAAAGCAGUAAAGUAAAUGGGGUGCUGUGAAAGAUGCUUUAAAUACAAGGGUGUUUUAAUAGUUUCUUAUUAUAAAUUGGAAUAUGGCCACUCUUUAAUUAGAACUAGCACUGGGUGAACUCUAUCAUAAAAAAAUAAAGGAUUCCAGCUGGUUUUUCCUUUCUGUGUGUUCUCAACAAUCUGUGAUCAGACUUCAAGGUUUCCUAGUUUGUCAUUUCAAAUUAUUGGACUGCUUCAUAUCAGUGUGUUUCACCCUAAGCUUCUUGGCAAGCUAGCUUGCUUUGGCUGCAUUUUCAAGAUUUUGGGUUAGCAAUUGAUCUCAUAUGUGUGUGUGUUACUGCUGCCUGCCUGCAAAGUUGUGGAAUAUUUGAUGAGAAGGAGGUUAGACAUCGGGAUUCUUCUGUAAAAAUUUGCAUCUCAAAGCUGCAAAGAAUUGCAAGGAUAUUAUUUUAGAAGACAUUUUUGAGAGCAAAUAUAUUCUUUCUAUAGAUAUCGACAGGCCAUUAAAAGAAAAAUUAGCUUCCAGAAUGGAGCUCAGCACAGCAGUGAAUUCAGCUGUCCAUGCACGUUUGUAAGAUUCACAUCUGCAAUUCCUGUUCGCUGUGGUUACUCAACCCUAAUUAAGACUUAAAUUGUUCUUCUCCAAACAGUAUGAAAAUGAAUGUUGAUCGUCAUUUUUCUGAAGAGUUCCAUAAUGUUAAAGAGUGGCAUUGCUUGUACAUUGUAUAUUGACCAUAUUCAAUUAUUAAUGAAACUAAUGUAUUUUGCAUCGAGUAUAAUUAAGACAAACUUCCUUCAUCACUGCAUGAAUUCAUUUUACCAGUUACAUCAUUAGCUUCAUAAGAGAGAAACUGGCAUAAGGCCAGAGCAAUAAUGUGGAAUAAGAUCUAUAAAUGUAAUGCUAUUUAGUAUUUAAUGUCUUUAUUAAUCACAAAAAUGUAGAACAACAUAAUUUCAUUUUCUAACAGAAGAGAAUAUAAUUUAUUCGUGGUUUUCAACAUCCAUGGUUGGUUAGGGUUUUUUGUUUGGUUGGGUUUGGUUUUGUUUUUUGUUUGUUUGGUUGUUGUUGUGGCUUUUUUGUUGUGGAUUUUUGUGUGGGUUUUUUUUUUCCCUGGGUUGCAAUUGGUGUAGCUUUUCCUUUCCUCUGAGAUACAGGCAAGAUUUGUUGGCCUUUGUUUAUAAUUGGAAUCAAUACCUCUUCAUUCAGAAUUUAAUGCGAUUCACACCUCUGGAGCUCCAACGUGAAUCCAUCAAUUAGAAAUGAAUUUUAUGAGCAGCAAUCUGUGAAUCAGAAGACUACACUGAAUACUAUUUGAUUUUAUUUUUCUGAAAUACAGAAAUCAAAUGUUUUUGCAAAGAUCAGUAUGUUCUUGGUUAUAUAGCAUUUCUUACCAAAUGGCUUAGGGAUCCCAUGUGUAUUAUAGUAAAAUGCAGCUGUGCAACAUUUCCUUUCUUGUAAUCACUUUCAUUUUUGCCAGUUUUUCUAUUUGCAAGUAAUAAAACAAACAAACAUGAAAUAAAUAUGUUCACAUUUUAAAGUAAGGUACUAUAACACACACAAAAAAUAGUUUAUGGUAGAUAACUUUCUACUGAAGUGUGUGUGUGCCACAGACACAUUUGAUUUUCUGUAAUUAAUAGAAAGUAUAGUAUGACUGGAUGUUCAUGAUUAUUUUAGUUAGACCAAGUAAAAUAUCUAUAACUUCAUUAGCAAAUAUUAAAGAACAGCAAAAGCCUCAUGCCUGGCAUUUUCUCUCAUUUGUGGUAGGUCCAGAGUAGUGGUAGAGGCCAGUGGCACUUCAGUGAUACUAAAGAAAGGGUAAUAUGUGACCCUCGAUAAGGGCAGAGACACAGUAGAGUAAUUCCUUUGUAUUUUACAGCAGAAACUCUUUUCAGGUGUGGCAUAGUACCUUCUUCAAAUAUUUGUUCACAAUAGAAGAAAUAUGUAUUUCCUUGCUGGGCAUAAAGAAAUUGUAUUAAUUUCUUGAAUUUUACACUUUCAUCACUUUAAAUACCUCUAAUGCUACAAAACAAUGGAAAUAUGUUGUGCUCACUCUGCAUAUCAGUGCUGAGGUAUAGAGCAUCCACUGUGUACUGGUGGCUUCAGAUCUUUGAUGCUGUGUGUAUUGAUGAAAUGUUCCAUGUAUGUAUUGACUGAGGUUAUUCAGAAGUCAGAGUGAAGCAGUUGGAAAUGUGUGAUAGUCCACUACAUAAAACUACCUCAGCUACUUGGAAAGUUAGCAGAUAUUAUUUUGGUAUGUUUUUUCACCAUAUUUCGUGUCCUCUUUCAGAUGAUCAGAAUAAAAUAACAUCUUCCUUUUUCCAUGUUUAUCUUGGAUAGAACUAUUUAACUUAAAAUCUUGUGUGUGCUUUCAUCAAUUCAAAAAGGGACUCUCUGAAGAUGCUGUAGAGAUCUUAGGAAUGUGUGUACAGUCCUGCAGUUGUUUCGGGUUUUUGUUUUGUUUUUAUUUUUCAUUUUGUUAUUUUGGUUGGGGGGAGGGGAAUUGGUUUGAUUUAGGUUUUAUUUGCUUGUCUGUUUGUUUUUUUCCUUCCAUCCCUGCUGUUGUUUGUCUUUAAAGUCUAUAUUGGCUUAUUUCUUUUGGACUUUGCACACUUUGUAGAUUUUCUGCAAAGCUUUUUCCUGCUGUGGCUUCUACAGGGUGGCUUCUACUCUGUGCUUUGCAAGGGACAGAGGCCAUGCACCCUGGCAGUGGACACAGAGCUCUGCUCUGCAAGGACCUGACUGGAGUGGAGGAGUUGAACAGGGCAGCUCUCUUUAGGAGGAGGUGUGGUUGGUCAGCAUGAGUUCUACGAGUUCUGUUCCACCAGUGUGAGCUGAGGUGGAUGAGCUUGUGCAGACCAGUCAGUGCCAUUUCUAUCAUUCUGUUCUUUGUAUCAGCUGUCUCUGAACAAGCUGAGCUGGCCACAGGGUCAGGCGAUGCCAUUGCCUAACAGUGCUGGUGCCUUCUGAGCUUCCUUAAAAAUGUUAGUUUAGAUGCUUGAUGCGGUAAACCACUUGUGCUAUGAGGAGAUGCCAAGGGACCUUGACUGGUUGGCUCUGGAGAAAAGCCAGCUUUGGAGGGACCUCACAACAGUCUUCCUGCACCUACAGUUAUAGAAUCAUAGAAUAGUUUGGAUUGAACGGGACCUUCAAAAGUCAUCUAGUCCAACACCUUUGCAAUGAGCAGGAACAUCUUAAACUUGAUCAGGUUGCUCAGAGCCCUGUCCAGCCUGGCCUUGAGUGUCUCCAGAGAUGGGACAUCCACCACCCCUCUGGGCAACCUGUUCUUGUAAAAAAAAUUCUUCCUCAUGUCUAACUUGAAUCUCCCCUCUUCUAGUUUAAAACCAUUAGCCCUUGUCCUGUCGUAACACGCCCUUCUAAAAAAUCUGUUCCUAUCUUUCUUAUAGGCUCAUUUUAAGUACUGAAAGUCUGCAAUAAGGUCUCCCCAGAGCCUUCUCUUCUUCAGAUUAAGUAAUUGAGAAGACUGAGCUGGGCUCUUUGAAGUGGUGCAUAGUAGGAGGAUUAGUCACAGUGGGCAUAAACUGAAGCAAGGGAGGUUCAGACUGGAUAUAGAAAAAGCAUUUUCCCCAAGAGGACAGCUGAGCAGUGGGACAGGCUGCCCAAGGAGACUGUGCAUUCUCCAUCCCAGGAGGUUUUCAAGGUUUGACUAAGCCCUGAGCAAACUCGUGUGACUUCAUAACUGACUCUGCUGUGAAUAUGUUGAUAUAAAUGACCUUCUGAGUUUCCUUUCUAUAGUUUCCUGAUACUUAGCACACAAUGAACAAGGAUAGAUGAGGAGGAUUGGGAGCUAUUUCUUCUAAUAAAUGCUGGUGUCUCAUAGAGGUGGUAAAGGAGUGGAGAACACCAAAUGAGUGCAUGAAAAUUGAUCACUAAUCCUCAUUAUGUUGCAAAUGAUGCAGUCCUGAUGCAGAGAGCAGUGCAUAGUCAUCACUUUUAUGUUGCAAGGUUCCCUUUAAGACUCCAAUGUAAUGAAGAAAUCAGUUUUGUUUAACGACCUUGUGCAUUAGCAGUUCUUUGUGUUGGUGACUGAAAUUAAUUUUGCUUGUGAGGUGAAGGAACAUGAGCCCAGCCUCUGCAUCAUUGCUCAAGCAUGUGCUUUAGCCCUAACAAAGAAUGGGAGGCCAUCAAAUUUCUGAGCAUCAGAAAUACCCAUGCUGAAACUCUUAGGUUCAUUAAUGAUAAAGACUCAGCAGGUUUUUAAUCACUGUGGCGCAUGGUUAGAAACUGCACCUCUGUGCAGUUUUGCUCAAGCACUGGAAAUUCUUGGUGACAUCAUGAAGACCGUCUUUAUUUUUCUUGACCAUCUCACAAAACAGACUUCCUCCUUGACCAGAGUAAUUACAAAAUUGUUCAGUUGUGGUUUAUGUUGCCAUACUGCUUAUUUAAAUAAAUGGUGUGAAGAAAAAGAAUAAGAGAAAGAUGAAGGAUAAAUAUGUCAAGGACAUAAAGACUGCAAGAAGCACAAAGUUUCAAGAAGACUUGGAGCAGAGAAUAAAAGGAGGGAGAAAUAAUGUUAUUUAAGAAGGAGGAAGAACAGACAAAGAGGAUGAAAGGAAUGUAAAAGGGAAAGUGAAAAGUCUGACAAAAAACAGGAAAGAAAUACAACUGAUGGAUAACAUUUCAAGAAAACAUAAUAAAAAUAGAAGGAAACACAAUGCAAAUAAUUACUUUUACAUUUGUAGAUGCUUCCUGGUCUAGCAAUGUGUGCUUGGCAAAUAUUCUUUAUCCUUGAGUUUGGAAAACUGGAGAACUCGGUUUAAAUUUAAUUUGGUGGAUAACAAAAGAUGUGGUCAAUAAAAUGAAAAAAAAAAAAUUAAUUAAGUGUGAAUAUGGAUGGCAAAGGCUGCAAGUGUAUUCUGUUUGGUCUUGUUUAGAUUUCACUUAGACUACAAAACACCGAUCAAAAAAGAUGACCUAUGAAGACUCUAGUAGUCUUCCCUUUCUUUGCCUGGAGACAAGAAUGAACUGCAAUGGACUUUAUUUGUUUGCAGUGCAGCCCGGAGCUCUAUUAGACCAUGGAAAGACAAGAAAUUCCAAAACCGGUUUAGUUUGGAUCCACCUUCAGCAGAGAGAGAUAUAAUGUAUAAUGUCUUAAUAAGGCUGCAGAAAGCUUCUGGUGUUGUUUUGAAUCAGAAGCAAGUCUGAACAUUUGCCACCUUCUGAUCCAAGGCGGAGAUCUGAACUAGGGAGUAUGCAAGGGCUCUAAAUGCCUUUCAUCACUAGGACUCCUAGAUGCGCUUCUGCCCAACUGGCACUCUUCUGGCUCAGUUACUGAUCUUUGCAUAGCUCACUGGUUUUAUGUUCCACAAUAUCCCAUCUAGCUGCUUCUCCAAAAAUAACAGCUUCUCCUUCCUUAUUCUGCCUCAGUCUGCAGGAUUUUUUUCCAGUUCUGUUCUUCACGCUUGGAAAAACCUUUCCAUCCUAAAGGACAAGCCAUAAAGGCUCUCUUCUUUCCCAGUUUUUAAUUUUUCUUUUUUAAGGGCAUGUCAGUGAAUGGGAUGUGUUUUAGCAAUGACAGUUAAUUACUAUAACCAGUUGGUUAUUGUAAUUAUAAUUAAAAUAUGCCAUUAAAAAAAAAUUGUAUGUUGUUGUCAUUUUCUAUACUCUUAAUGCACCAAGAUGUGUGUUUCUCCAGUAAACAUCAAGUUUUAGCCAGCAUUAAGAGUGCAGGCACUGCACUGGUGAUAUUUAACAGUAAAAGUGGCAGCCUCAGUGGAAAUUGCAAAACCAGACACAAUAUUUUGCAGGCUCUGAAACUUUAUAUCUGAGGAAGAAUUCAAAUGAUGAGCAUUGCUCUGGGAAGAGGCAUAGAAAUAAGACUUACUUGGAAGGUCGGAUUUGUGAUGGCUGUCAUGCCUGGGAUGAAGUUUAUCCAUGAGACUACUUGUGUGGAUCCCUGCCAAGGGGAUUAUGAAACAGUGUUGGGAAGAUGACAGGGAGUGUUUAUUCCCAUAUUGAUAAACGGAUGACAGGAAUCUGCUUACAAGGUGGAGUAGCAAAAGGGAACAGUGUGGAAUGUGUAAACAUCAGUAAAUCAUGGGAGAACGUCUCAAUGUUUUUUGAACAGUUCCAUUUCUACAAUGUGUUUUCUUUGCACUGCCAUUAUGUUAUGUUUGUGAGGAAGCACCUAGGCAUGCUUCUUCCCAAAUGCUUUAUUUUGUCCUUGAAUUAAUAAAAAGCGAUUUCUUAAAUUGUGAAAAUCCAGAUACUUACCUUAUGCUUGUGUCUUCUUUUGGUUUUGUUUGGUUUUUUGUUUGUUUGUUUGUUUUUCCUCCUUUAUCUU